rnacentral:rRNA from 1 species
UACGGGGGGGGCAAGCGUUGUUCGGAAUUACUGGACGUAAAGGCUCGUAGGCGGCCAACUAAGUCGGAUGUGAAAUCCCCAGGCUCAACUUGGGAACUGCAUCCGAUACUGGAUGGCUUGAAUUCGGGAGAGGGAUGCAGAAUUCCAGGUGUAGCGGUGAAAUGCGUAGAUAUACUGGAGGAAUACCGGUGGCGAAGGCGGCAUCCUGGACCGACAUUGACGCUGAGGAGCGAAAAGCUAGGGGAGCAAACGGGGA